rnacentral:rRNA from 1 species
UAUCCUACGGGACGCAGCAGUGAGGAAUAUUGGUCAAUGGCCGGAAGGCUGAACCAGCCAAGCCGCGUGAGGGAGGAAGGCGCAGAGCGUCGCAGACCUCUUUUGCCGGGGGACAAAAGGCCGGACGGGUCCGGUUCUGAGGGUACCCGGAGAAAAAGCAUCGGCUAACUCCGUGCCAGCAGCCGCGGUAAUACGGAGGAUGCGAGCGUUAUCCGGAUUCAUUGGGUUUAAAGGGUGCGUAGGCGGAGUGUCAAGUCAGCGGUAAAAUUUCGGGGCUCAACCCCGGCGUGCCGUUGAAACUGACG